UACGAAGGGGCGAGCGUUGUUCGGAAUUACUGGGCGUAAAGGGCGCGUAGGCGGCGAACCAAGUCAGAUGUGAAAGUCCUGGGCUUAACCUGGGACUGCAUUUGAUACUGGUUUGCUUGAAUUCGGGAGAGGAUAGCGGAAUUCCAGUGUAGAGGUGAAAUUCGUAGAUAUUGGAAGAACACCGGUGGCGAAGGCGGCUAUCUGGACCGA
rnacentral:rRNA from 1 species